AGACGCAUGGCUUAGUGGUUAGAGUGUUUGGCUUACGACCAUACAGCCAUGGUUUCAAUUCCAGGUUGGUCAA
rnacentral:tRNA from 1 species